CCGGCGCGCGGGUGAGUAACGCGUAUGCGACCUGCCCGUUGCAGGGGGGAUAAUCGGGAGAAAUCCCGUCUAAUACCGCGUAACGCCGCGGGGCUGCAUGGCCCUGCGGCCAAAGGGAGCGAUUCCGGCAACGGAUGGGCAUGCGUGACAUUAGCUAGUUGGCGGGGCAACGGCCCACCAAGGCGACGAUGUCUAGGGGUUCUGAGAGGAAGGUCCCCCACACUGGUACUGAGACACGGACCAGACUCCUACGGGAGGCAGCAG
rnacentral:rRNA from 1 species